rnacentral:rRNA from 1 species
AUUGAACGCUGGCGGCAGGCCUAACACAUGCAAGUCGAACGGUAACAGGAAACAGCUUGCUGUUUCGCUGACGAGUGGCGGACGGGUGAGUAAUGUCUGGGAAACUGCCUGAUGGAGGGGGAUAACUACUGGAAACGGUAGCUAAUACCGCAUAACGUCGCAAGACCAAAGAGGGGGACCUUCGGGCCUCUUGCCAUCGGAUGUGCCCAGAUGGGAUUAGCUAGUAGGUGGGGUAACGGCUCACCUAGGCGACGAUCCCUAGCUGGUCUGAGAGGAUGACCGGCCACACUGGAACAGAGACACGGUCCAGACUCCUACGGGAGGCAGCAGUGGGGAAUAUUGCACACUGGGCGCAAGCCUGAUGCAGCCAUGCCGCGUGUAUGAAGAAGGCCUUCGGGUUGUAAAGAACUUUCAGCGGGGAGGAAGGGAGUAAAGUUAAUACCUUUGCUCAUUGACGUUACCCGCAGAAGAAGCACCGGCUAACUCCGUGCCAGCAGCCGCCGUAA